GCGCGUUUUGUCUAGGGGCUCAGGACGGCCGCCCGUUCCGGCGGCAGACACAGGUUCGAAUCCUGUAGCGCGCACCG
rnacentral:tRNA from 1 species